GCGAACGCUGGCGGCAGGCUUAACACAUGCAAGUCGAGCGGGCACUUCGGUGUCAGCGGCAGCCGGGUGAGUAACACGUGGGAACGUACCCUUCGGUUCGGAAUAACGCUGGGAAACUAGCGCUAAUACCGGAUACGCCCUUUUGGGGAAAGGUUUACUGCCGAAGGAUCGGCCCGCGUCUGAUUAGCUAGUUGGUGGGGUAAUGGCCUACCAAGGCGACGAUCAGUAGCUGGUCUGAGAGGAUGAUCAGCCACACUGGGACUGAGACACGGCCCAGACUCCUACGGGAGGCAGCAGUGGGGAAUAUUGGACAAUGGGCGCAAGCCUGAUCCAGCCAUGCCGCGUGAGUGAUGAAGGCCUUAGGGUUGUAAAGCUCUUUUGUCCGGGACGAUAAUGACGGUACCGGAAGAAUAAGCCCCGGCUAACUUCGUG
rnacentral:rRNA from 1 species